AGGACGAACGCUGGCGGCGCGCUUAACACAUGCAAGUCGAGCGAGAACCAGUCCUUCGGGACUGGGGACAGCGGCGAACGGGUGAGUAACACGUGGGUAAUCUGCCCUCGAUUCUGGGAUAGCCCGGGGAAACCCGGAUUAAUACCGGAUAGCCUCUCGAGCUUACGAGCUCGUGAGAAAAGGUAGCUUCGGCCUCCGAUCGAGGAUGAGCCCGCGGCGGAUUAGCUUGUUGGUGGGGGUAAUGGCCUACCAAGGCGACGAUCCGUAGCUGGUCUGAGAGGACGAUCAGCCACACUGGGACUGAGACACGGCCCAGACUCCUACGGGAGGCAGCAGUGGGGAAUCUUGCGCAAUGGGCGAAACCCUGAUGCAGCGACGCCGCGUGCGGGAUGAAGGCCUUCGGGUUGUAAACCGCUUUCAGCAGGGACGAAUUGACGGUACCUGCAGAAGAAGCACCGGCUAACUACGUGCCAGCAGCCGC
rnacentral:rRNA from 1 species